rnacentral:lncRNA from 1 species
CUCAAAGAUUAUAUAUACUAGGAUACAUACAUUAUAUAAUGAAAAUAAUAUAGGCUGUGUCAUGCCCUUGACCCAGAAUAUAAAUUAAAAUAAAAUUCAAAAAAUAUGAGCAGCCACCGCAUGCCUGCAGAUACUCAUCCUAUAGGCAUGCAAGGCUUCCAAUAUAGCAAAACUCAGUAUAAUAUGCAAAAUAGCAUUCUCCAGGC